UCCUGCCUGCCAAGAGAUCUCCCUUCCAGCUCUGACAUUUGUCCUGGAGAGAUAAACAAGAGCAGGCUGCAGCCUCACCCUCUGGGGCGAGUCGCUAGAUGUCAGCUCUGUCCCACGGCACGUCCAGUGCCUAGCAGGCAGCUUCUGAGGGGCGGCCUACCGCCAUCACCUGGUACCUAGCCACAUUCUUUAACGGGGUGAAGCUACACAGAGGAACGCUUGAGAAACUUCGCAGGACUUUCUUAUUAAAUGACAAUUUCUUUGACAAAAAAAAAUUUUUUUAAGUAAAUAAACCUCUUCAGUCAACAGCUUUUAACCAAGAAUUACAUUUAAAAAUUAAGUUGGGACAAAAUAUUCCUCCGAGUUCCUCGUGAUCUUCCCCCUUUCCAAGGGUUUUCCUCUCUGCUGGGAAGUGUUGGAUCUUUCUGCCACCCAAGAGACUGUGUUGGCCUGAAGCCUGCAACCCUCGGGGUCAUCCUUGACUUUCUAGAAUCUGCAAGGAGGACAGGGGUUCCUCAUGGGCCCAGCAGUCCCCACCCCAAAGGAUGUCGGGGUGAGAGAGCAGCCUCAGUCUCUUCCCACCAGCAUUUUCACCCUGGAAGGGUCGGGGGAGGGUUAAGUCAUGCAUAACCUAUCUGCGUCUCAGUCAUCGACGGCUCCGGGGCCGAAGUCCUUCCCCAGCCAUUGUACAAGUUGCUAUAAAUAGGUCCUCCCGUGAAUAUCAUGAUGACAUAUGGGCAGAGGGACUCAGAAACAAGAAUGUGCUCUCACUCUGUUCCGGGAUUCUUUUACGAGCUUCUGCACCCUCCCCGCCCCCACCCGCCAGCACAUGACAGAGUCUGGGACUCUCCAGGGAGCUGUGUGACUUGGAGGCACAAACACCAGGAAAACGCACCUAUCAGGAAAACGGCCUUGAAAAACACAAA